GACGAACGCUGGCGGCGUGCUUAACACAUGCAAGUCGAACGAUGAAACCGGAGCUUGCUCCGGUGGAUUAGUGGCGAACGGGUGAGUAACACGUGAGUAACCUGCCCUUGACUCUGGGAUAACUGCGGGAAACUGUAGCUAAUACCGGAUACGACCCUCGGAGGCAUCUCCUGGGGGUGGAAAGAAUUUCGGUCAAGGAUGGACUCGCGGCCUAUCAGCUAGUUGGUGAGGUAACGGGUCACCAAGGCGACGACGGGUAGCCGGCCUGAGAGGGGACCCGGCCACACGGGCACUGAGACACGGCCCAGACUCCUACGGGAGGCAGCAGUGGGGAAUAUUGCACAAUGGGCGCAAGCCUGAUGCAGCAACGCCGCGUGAGGGAUGACGGCCUUCGGGUUGUAAACCUCUUUUAGCAGGGAAGAAGCGAAAGUGACGGUACCUGCAGAAAAAGCACCGGCUAACUACGUGCCAGCAGCCGCCGUAA
rnacentral:rRNA from 1 species